AAGAGAAAAUUGAGAAAGUGGGAGUGCUGAAGCACAGUCUCGCUUAUCUGUGCCCGUCUUUCAGAUGGCCAAGGGUUCUCACGCAGCGACCGUAGACGUGAGCACAUGCAGCCAUGUCCCAUCUGAACGGGAAGGAGAGGCUGUGGUGUUCGCUGAUACAUGAGGGAACUUUGAUUUUGCUGGCAGAUGCUGAUUCACACCACUGUAUUGUCUUUACUUCAAUGUUUGAUCACAGAAGUCAGGGAAGCGAUCUUCUGCUCCUUUGAGGAAAUAAAAAAGAUUCACUUUAAAGAUAAUUGACGACUGUCACCUCCUAACACAGACAUUCCUACCAGGUGACCCAGAGAGCUGCACAGAAGAAACACGUAAGAAUUGUUGCCUUGAUGAAAAGUCAGUCAAUCGAUAGAGAAAAAAGAUUCUGAGAUGAUUUUUCUGCCAAAUGAGCCAAAAUAAAGCCCUGCCUUGAGCUUUGAACCUCUAUCCAGCCAUAAGAACAAUAUCAGUGUAUGCUACACUCUUUCACUAUGGUGGUCAUUUAAUUUUUUUAGGCUAUUGCCGUGUGCAGCCUCUGUCCCAGAAUCACAAACACGGAGACAUAAAGCAGUGAAAAUGUAAAAACCUGAAGAAAUGAACCCCAAGAAUGUGCGUCCAUGCUUUCCUCCCUCUCCAGAGCUUAGUGGCUCCAGGUUCAAGGAAAACUGUAUAGCUCAGUGCUGAUGAGGUUGGAAAUGGAGCUGCAUUCAUUGCAGGGCUUUAAAGGAGGAAGAGUGCAACAUUCUGCAUUGACUAUAAACUGUUUACAAGGGGAUGAAGGCAUCUUCUCAUUGGAAAGGAUUGUUUGGUCCCAGCCCUGGCUGCACUCUGCUAAGGAGCCGUGCCGGGCGCGCAGGUGUUUCUGCCGAGCGAGCGCCCCGGCGAGCCCGAGACCCGCUCCCGUGGGCAGCUGAUGAGAGAGGGGCCGAGGCCCGUGUGGGAGGGCUGCCGGGAGUGGAGCAGCUGCAGGUGCUGCUGGUCAUGAUCGUAUCCUUCCUAGGGCUGGACUGA
ensembl:lncRNA